AUAUCUCUCUGUACGGGAAGGAUGAGAAGCUUCUACCAGGGUUCGAUUCGAGCGCAGCGAGAAAGCGUUGCCGCAGGCAACGACCCGAAGGGCG
rnacentral:sRNA from 2 species